AGUUUGAUCCUGGCUCAGGAUGAACGCUGGCGGUCUGCUUAACACAUGCAAGUCGAACGGAGUGCUUCGGCACUUAGUGGCGGACGGGUGAGUAACGCGUGAGAAUCUGCCCUUAGGACGGGGACAACAGCUGGAAACGGCUGCUAAUACCCGAUGUGCCGAGAGGUGAAACAUUUUAUGGCCUGAGGAUGAGCUCGCGUCUGAUUAGCUAGUUGGUGGGGUAAGGGCCUACCAAGGCGACGAUCAGUAGCUGGUCUGAGAGGAUGAUCAGCCACACUGGGACUGAGACACGGCCCAGACUCCUACGGGAGGCAGCAGUGGGGAAUUUUCCGCAAUGGGCGCAAGCCUGACGGAGCAAGACCGCGUGCGGGGGGACGGCCUAUUGGUUGUAAACCGCUUUUGAUAGGGAGGAAGCACUGACGGUACCUAUCGAAUCAGCAUCGGCUAACUCCGUGCCAGCAGCCGCGGUAAUACGGAGGAUGCAAGCGUUAUCCGGAAUUAUUGGGCGUAAAGCGUCCGUAGGUGGUUGUUCAAGUCUGCUGUUAAAGCGUGCGGCUUAACCGCAUACCAGCAGUGGAAACUGGGCGACUAGAGUGCGGUAGGGGUCAGGGGAAUUCCCAGUGUAGCGGUGAAAUGCGUAGAUAUUGGGAAGAACACCGGUGGCGAAAGCGCCUGACUGGACCUGCACUGACACUGAGGGACGAAAGCUAGGGGAGCGAAAGGGAUUAGAUACCCCUGUAGUCCUAGCCGUAAACGAUGGACACUAGGUGUUGCCCGUAUCGACCCGGGCAGUGCCGUAGCCAACGCGUUAAGUGUCCCGCCUGGGGAGUACGCUCGCAGAGUGAAACUCAA
rnacentral:rRNA from 1 species